AUUCCGUGGUGAGUAAACUCCCUUUGAUACUCCUUGAACCUAUCCCAUGCUUCAAAUAGGGAUUCAUCACAUUUUUGCUAGAAGGAUUGUAUCUUGUGUCGGUAUU
rnacentral:snoRNA from 1 species